GACGAACGCUGGCGGCGUGCUUAACACAUGCAAGUCGAACGGUAAGGCCCUACGGGGUACACGAGUGGCGAACGGGUGAGUAACACGUGGGUGAUCUGCCCUGCACUUCGGGAUAAGCCUGGGAAACUGGGUCUAAUACCGGAUAGGACCACUGCCUGCAUGGGUGGUGGUGGAAAGCUUUUGCGGUGUGGGAUGGGCCCGCGGCCUAUCAGCUUGUUGGUGGGGUGAUGGCCUACCAAGGCGACGACGGGUAGCCGGCCUGAGAGGGUGACCGGCCACACUGGGACUUGGGUACGGGCCAGACUCCUACGGGAGGCAGCAGUGGGGAAUAUUGCACAAUGGGCGCAAGCCUGAUGCAGCGACGCCGCGUGAGGGAUGACGGCCUUCGGGUUGUAAACCUCUUUCAGCACCGACGAAGCGCAAGUGACGGUAGGUGCAGAAGAAGGACCGGCCAACUACGUGCCAGCCGCCGCGGUAA
rnacentral:rRNA from 1 species